rnacentral:lncRNA from 1 species
CUGCAAUAUUAAAGUAUGGGUAGGUAACCUAAUGAAAUUCUGUUGACUCUUUUUUUUUUUUUUUUUUUGAAAGGGUCUUACCUUGCAGCCCUAGAAUGCACUACGUGGAGCAGGCUGUCCUGAAAUUUACAGAGCUGCUUGCCUUUGUCUCCCAAGCACCAGGACUGAAGGAGUCUACCACCAUGCCUGGCAUUUUUUGACAGUUUCAUAAAGCAUACAUAUCACAAUAUUUAUAUUUCUAUACACAAAUACAACUAUUGUGCUGAUUCCACUGAAAUAUCUCUCAUUUUUCCUAGUUCCACUUACCUGUCUGAGCUCAUCAGGAGAACAGGAAAACAAUUUUGAGGAAUACAUCUCCUUUAUACAUCAAUAUGAUUCCAGGAAAACUCCAAAUGAGCCUAUCCGGGGAAAGACAUGGGACCUUUGUGCAGAGAGCAAUAAAGCCACCGACUAUGUCAAUAAUUCCCAAGGAACCAGAGGUAUUACCGAAUGCUCCAGGGUCAUGUUCAUCAGAACAGCCCCAAAGAACAGAAAAAGAAAAUGUGUCAAGAGACAGUGUGCCGUCACCAGGCACAGAAUUCCCAAGAACUGCUGGAGACUUAGAAACAGAAGGCAGCCCAGGCCCGCAGGCCCAGAACCUGGAGUGUGGGUGAGGACUGCAGUCAGGUAUACAGGUCAUGAUUUGUAUGGAUCUUAAAUAACCACAAACACGGACAAAUAAGAUGGAACCCAGUCCCAGCUGCUGACAGUAAGAACUGCCAAGCUUUUCCUGAGAGAAGGAGAAGAUAUUUUCAAAAAACUGUUUUCUUUCCUCCAGAAUUUAUCUUGCACUGGAUCCAAGAAUGAAGACUUAAUUGUUUUGUUAGCUCUAAAUAUCAAUACUUGGAGAAAUUUUGGAGCACUCUUGCUGCCUUACUAGUCCCUACAGACCUGGCUAAAUUCUGCCAGGUUCAAAGAGAGUAAUCAGUGAAGCCAGGUCUACAGGUGAGUAGUGCCACUGAGAAAGGGCUGUGAAAGUGGACAUGUGCCC